rnacentral:rRNA from 1 species
GACCAGACUCCUACGGGAGGCAGCAGUGAGGAAUAUUGGUCAAUGGGCGCGAGCCUGAACCAGCCAAGUCGCGUGAGGGAGGACGGCCCUACGGGUUGUAAACCUCUUUUGCCGGGGAGCAACGGGCGUCACGUGUGGCGCCGCUGAGAGUACCCGGAGAAAAAGCAUCGGCUAACUCCGUGCCAGCAGCCGCGGUAAUACGGAGGAUGCGAGCGUUAUCCGGAUUUAUUGGGCUUAAAGGGUGCGUAGGCGGACUGUAAAGUCGGUGGAAAAAUGGGGGGGCCCAACCCCUGCCCGCCAUUGAAACUGGCGCUCUUGAGUGGAAGAGAAGUAUGCGGAAUGCGUGGUGUAGCGGUGAAAUGCAUAGAUAUCACGCAGAACCCCGAUUGCGAAGGCAGCAUGCCGGCUUCCGACUGACGCUGAAGCACGAAAGCGUGGGGAUCGAACAGGAUUAGAUACCCGAGUACG